AUACCUGGCGGAGGCCUACACCUGCAGGUUUAACGGUAACAGUGAUGUGCUUGCCCAUCGCUUACGAGUGGCGGACGGGUGAGUAAUGCUUAGGGAUCUGCCUCUGUGUGGGGGAUAACUAUUGGAAACGAUAGCUAAUACCGCAUAAAUGUUUACGGACCAAAGGGGGCGUUUGCUCCCGCGCAGAGAGGAACCUAAGUGAGAUUAGCUAGUUGGUAAGAGUAAUGGCUUACCAAGGCGACGAUCUCUAGCUGUUCUGAGAGGAAGAUCAGCCACACUGGGACUGAGACACGGCCCAGACUCCUACGGGAGUGCAGCAGUGGGGAAUAUUUGCACAAUGGGGGGAACCCUGAUGCAGCACAUGCCGCGUGUGUGAACGAAGUGCCUUCGGGUUGUAAAGCACUUUCACGUUGUGAGGAAACGGUUAGUACGUUAAUACCUGCUAGCUGUGACGUUAGCAACAAGAAGAAGCCACCGGCUAACUC
rnacentral:rRNA from 1 species